UAAAUAAAUCCUAUAAUGGAACACUAUAUGUUACAUGUCCCGAGACAAUGUAAAAAUCUGCAUUCUCAAAUGAGAUGCAAAUAGAGGGGUAUGUUACAUUGGGAAUAACGUCAAAACUCACCUUGAAAUGGGAAUGUUGUAUUACUUGUCCCGAAACAUAUCGUAAAAAUUUGAAUUCUCAAAUGAGAUGCAAAUAGAGGGUUUGUUUUGUUUGGAAUAAUGGCUAAACAGAUCCUGGAAUUGGAAUGAGAAUGUUAUCUGUUACGUCUCGAAAUGCAAAAAUAUGUAUUCUCAAAUGAAAUGAAAAUAUAGGGUUUGAUCUGUUGGGAAUAAUGGCUUAACAGACCAUGGAAAGACCUGCCCCGAAUCGUAAUGCAAAGGCCUGUUGUAUUCUCGGAUGUUAUACAAAUAUAGAGGGUUUGUUAGGAAUUGCAGCAAUACAAGACUCUCUAGAGUUGAAUGAACUCAUUAAGUCUGAACUGGAUAAAAUCUUAAUGAUUGGUUUCUGUAAUUCCUAUAUUUUUGUAUCAGUGUCACAAUUGCUUUGCGCCUUUGUCAGGUUUGGUAAUAUAUCCUUUAGCUCUGUAUGGCAAUUCCUUCUUUUUAUGAUCAAUGUCUCAGUUUUAAGUUUUCGACUCACAAAGGUAAAUUCUUGGAUCAACCCAUAGAAUUGGUUUCAGAAUUGUGUAAUAGGUUUACUAGCAUACAUAUGUCUUUUAUACUUUGUUCCGUAUAUGAUCAAUGUCCCAGUUUUAAGCUUUCUGUUUCAUGUCAGGGAGCUCUUGGUUUAGUUGCAUACAUCUGUCGUUUAAUCUUCCGCUGACAAAGGUAAGUUCUUGGACUGUACCAUAGCAUUGAUUUCAGAGUUGUGCAAUAGCUUAUGCUUUUGUUUAAAAACGUUUUUAUGGUGUGAUGUAAGGUUGAAUUGCAAUAAUGACAGCUUUCCAUGAAGAGAGAGGGUUUCUGGAAGGAAGAUGUACCAUUAACAAGAUUGUGAGUAUUAAUUUGGAUUCAUUUGUUUACGUUAUGUUUUCUCUUAUGAAAGAAGGAACAUGUGUUGAUGUCUUAUCUUUAUUAUUUGGCGGUUUUAUGCUGGUAAAACACAUAUACAUAUUCUAUAGAUUACAUUGGUUGAUGUAGGAUUAUUAUGUGACAUGGAGGAUUUAACACGUGUUUCGAAGUAA